rnacentral:rRNA from 1 species
CCCUUAGAUGUUCUGGGCUGCACGCGCGCUACACUGAUACUUUCAGCGAGUCCACCACCUUGCCUGAGAGGGUGGGGUAACCUCUGGAAAGUGUAUCGUGAUGGGGAUCGAUUAUUGUAAUUAUUAAUCUUCAACGAGGAAUUCCUUGUAAUCGCGAUUCAUCAUAUCGCGCUGAAUACGUCCCUGCCCUUUGUACACACCGCCCGUCGCUCCUACCGAUUGAGCGAUCCGGUGAAUGUUUUGGACUGGCGUCAGAAGCGGUUCGCUCCUGACACUACGAAAUUUUGUAAACCUUAUCGCUUAGAGGAAGGAAAAGUCGUAACA